CACCGCCUGGGGAGUACGACCGCAAGGUUAAAACUCAAAUGAAUUGACGGGGACCCGCACAAGUAGUGGAGCAUGUGGUUUAAUUCGAAGAUACGCGCAGAACCUUACCAACACUUGACAUGUUCGUCGCGACUCUAAGAGAUUAGAGUUUUCGGUUCGGCCAGACGAAACACAGGUGCUGCAUGGCUGUCGUCAGCUCGUGUCGUGAGAUGUUGGGUUAAGUCCCGCAACGAGCGCAACCCUCACUUUUAGUUGCUACCAUUUAGUUGGGCACUCUGAAAGAACUGCCAGUGAUAAGCUGGAGGAAGGUGGGGAUGACGUCAAGUCCUCAUGGCCCUUACGUGUUGGGCUACACACGUGCUACAAUGGCAUUUACAAUAGGAAGCAAGAUGGCGACAUCAAGCAAAUCCUAAAAAAAUGCCUCAGUUCGGAUUGUACUCUGCAACUCGAGUACAUGAAGCUGGAAUUACUAGUAAUCGCGGAUCAGCGCGCCGCGGUGAAUACGUUCCCGGGUCUUGUACACACCGCCCGUCACACCAUGGGAGUUGGUUCUACCUUAAGGCAAAGCUUAAAACCUUUGACCACGGUAUAGUCAGCGACUGGGGUGAAGUCGUAACAAGGUAGCCGUAGGGGAACCUGCGGCUGGAUUACCUCCUUUCUAAGGAUGAUUAAGGAAUUUUUCUUAAUCUAAAUAUUUAACAGGUUAAUGUUGACCGUCCUCAUUUCUCUUCUUAAACUUAGUGUUUCUCUUUUCUGCAUAAGGGCCGGUAGCUCAGUUGGUUAGAGCACACCCUUGAUAAGGGUGGGGUCGAAAGUUCGAGUCUUUCUCGGCCCACCAAUUUUUUGGGGGAUUAGCUCAGCUGGGAGAGCGCCUGAUUUGCAUUCAGGAGGUCAGCGGUUCGAUCCCGCCAUCCUCCACCAGAAACACUUAGCUAUUUUAAUCGUAAAUAAAAUUAAUAUUAUCAAUAUCUAUAUCCGAUUGUUCGAAUAGGUGAACAAUCAUUGAAUGUUCAAAAAUAUGAACAUUCCAAAAAAAUUUGAUUCAACACAGAAUUUUUUUCUG
rnacentral:sRNA from 1 species